ensembl:lncRNA
UGGGCCUGUGCCCUCACACGAGUUCCCUGGGACCCUGAGGUGCCCAGCGGUGGGAGGCUGCACUCACAGCAGCAGGUGGGCCUGUGCCCUCACACGAGUUCCCUGGGACCCUCAGGUGCCCAGCAGCGGGAGGCUGCACUCACAGUGGGAGGUGGGCCUGUGCCCUCACACGAGUUCCCUGGGACCCUCAGGUGCCCAGCAGCGGGAGGCUGCACUCACAGCGGGAGGUGAGCCUGUGCCCUCACACGAGUUCCCUGGGACCCUCAGGUGCCCAGCAGCGGGAGGCUGCACUCACAGUGGGAGGUGGGCCUGUGCCCUCACACGAGUUCCCUGGGACCCUCAGGUGCCCAGCAGCGGGAGGCUGCACUCACAGCGGGAGGUGGGCCUGUGCCCUCACACGAGUUCCCUGGGACCCUCAGGUGCCCAGCAGCGGGAGGCUGCACUCACAGUGGGAGGUGGGCCUGUGCCCUCACACGAGUUCCCUGGGACCCUCAGGUGCCUUGGCUACAAGAUGCGGGCUGUUCUUUGUGUUUUAUGAGACAGUCAGUCAGCUUAGCCACAAGAGGAGAGAGGAGCGCCUUGGGAAUCGAAGUUUAUUGUGCUUGUGGGUCCCAGAGCCAGGCGGCACACUAAACCACACGAGGCAGCAGACAGGAGCAAGGGGAAGAACUGGGCCAUGGCCUUUCCCGGGGUUCCCACAGGAAGGCAGGCAGGGCAGGGGAGCACUCAGACUGGCUGGAUGGAAUCGUUUCCUUGGGUUUGGGCUUUAGGCAGAGGACUCUCGCUGCUGGGCACAGGGCAGGUGGAGGGGCCAGCUCUGGUGGCUGGUGGGCAUGUUAGAGGCUUGCUCCUGCUCUGCGCUCUCUGAGGAUCGGCCAGCUGCGAGGGGUGGUCUCUCCCAGCCAGAGGGUUUUAAGAUGUCAGAGCAUCAUGAUAUACAGAAAAUUAAAAAUAUAUACAGCAAUGGGGAGACAGUAGGGUUGUUGUGAGGAUUAAAUCAGGUAAUGUGUGUGAAGUGUGUGGUCCCACUGUCAGCCGACUGCCCAGCGUGGGUGUGAAGGAGGCCGGGGCACUCGCCUGGCCCUGAGAACAGCAGCACAGAUGACUCGGGCGGUAGGGGGUUGAGGGGGCAGGGGUGUACCUUGUUCAAGGGGAGGCAGACACCCAUGGCCUAGAGACUAGAGAAAUAGCCGGCGCCUGGGCGAGACAGGACCCUGCCUUGAAGACGCAAUGGAAGGAGCUGGUUCCUCAAGCGAGGUGGCCUAGGGAUGCCCGCGGGGUGGUGGUGGGUGUGCUGUGGCCUCCUCUGGCUCUGGGUGGGUGGCCUGGCGGUGUGGUGCAGAAGUGGAAGUACCGGCAUUCCAGAGCAUCUGCUCCUGACAUCCUCCCAAGUGACUGGCUCCCUACUUGUGCAAGGACCCGUGUCUGUGUACUGUGGUUGAGUUCAAGAUCCGGCUGAUGAAGAAGCCAGUGUUAAGGAAACCGGAAAGAAUUAAAAUAUUGGAGUAGAAAUGAUAAUUUACCCUCUCCCUCCCAGUUAUGACGAAGCACGCCUCUGAAUGGCCGUCUGGGUGGGCCCUCACCUGUGUGGCCCUGUCCCGUCCGUCCUCAGCAUAUUUGGGUGAGAAAACACCUUGGAGAGCACAGCGGUUGCUGGGGCCCCGUCCUGGGGGCCCGGAGCAGCGUCCCUGCUGUCCUUCUGUCCCCUGGGUUCAGGUGUGCUCACCAGCCCCUGAUGAAAACGAUAACAGCUCUGAAUGGUUAGGGUACAGAAGUGCUGCAAACGUCUCUACAAGGAAACAUUUUGGACAAAGUUUAGAAUAUUACAGGGGUGUUUUUAGUGUUAAAAUUUGGGGAGAAAAUGAAUAUUUAGUGUGUACCAACUACUUGGGGAUACCACAUCAGAGUGGUCGUGGUGUAAGAUUCUAAUUAUGUCCCAUUUGAGUACUAUUUCUGGUCUUAUUUUGAGUACUGUUUUCCUUUUAAUUAAUAUUUCAGAAAGCUUGCCAACUCUUGCUUAAAUCUUAG